AUGCCAGCGGCGCUGCAGGGACUUCAGGCCGAGGUGGGACCGUUACACAGAACGUUGAACAGCCCCUCCCGGGAGAGUUUUACCGCCAACGGCGACUCCCGGGACUGGGGAAGGGGCAAUGGCAGCGCGCGCGCCUCACCUACCACCGCCCUUCUCACGCGCGUGGCAUUCGACGCCACCACGACGACCGACUUUCCCACUCUUCGGCGCGUGGCACCGUCUGACGCUCCAGCGUCGCCAAUCAGCAGCCGCCCGAGUAGGCACCUGACAAAAUUGACGGCCUCCAGCGACCAAUCAGAACGUGUCGAGAGCCGAGUAGGGCGGGGAAAGCUUUUAAAAACCUUGGAGGUUGAGGGAGAGUGUGCGACCAAUUAAAAGGAGGAUAUGAAGGAGCCAAUGAAAGAGGUGCUACCAGCUGGUACAUGAAGGCGCUCAAGAAAAAGUUUAUACCAUAACAAAAAAGUUUUACAGUAUAUACUGAUUGUAUCAUGAUCAGUGGAACUGGAAUCAGCAGACCCAGGUGCCCUGAGAGGACUCUUAUUGAUGGAACACCAGUAGAAUAAGGAAAACGGGGAGCUAGUCUGGAAGCAACUCAGCCACAUAGUGCAAUGCAGAGGAUUUAAUGAAGUUCUACUUGUUCAACUUAACCUGCAUUCAGCUUCGCUCUUUGCAAAUGAAACACUGAUAAUUUAAAAUGGAUGUUGUGGUGGUGCCUACCAUAAAGUCAAGUUAAUCUUGUUAGAACAAAAAUACCAGUGAAUUUUGCUUGACAUCAGUCCAAAACUUACCACAUAAUUAUAGAUAUCUUGGGACCAUAAGACUUCUCAACAUUGGAUUCUCCUUAUCUGUCAAACACAUGUGGUGGGGGAGAACACACAGAAACUUAGGACAGACAAGAACAGGCAGAGGCAAAAAUCAAGAAAGCCAAAUAGUGGCCUGUGAGCAGAGUGUAACCGUAGAAAAAGCUAAAGAGAGAGCUUUAGGGUCUGAAAGUUGAAGAGGCGUGAGGCUAAGAAACUGUUUCUUUUAUUCUUGGUUCCUCCUCUGUUUGGAGAAGCUGGACUUUGUACAUUCUUUGUAAACAAACAAGAUUGCAUCAAAGAAAAUACCAGAUUUCAUCAGUUUCUACUUCCAACUUGAACAUCCCUAGAGCCAUGAACUUUGAUUAGCUGUUUGGGAUAUUAUCCAGCUUUCACUGAAAGAUUAGCAAGAAUAUAUUGUAUUCAUAGAUAUAUUAACUGCAAACAGAAAGUUCAAGACAUGUUACUGCACCUUGGAAUAAAGGAAGCUAGUUGCCAAGAAAGGAACAAGUCAUGAAACGACACUGAAUAACUUUCUGGCUAUACGACGGGUCUUUCCAUCCCAUGUAAAAUACGACCAUGUUUCCUGCUGCACAACUACAUGAAUGACAACCUAAUUGACCACUGAGCCCCACUUUUAAUUUUUCUAUUUGUGACAAAUUGGCACAUUAAUGUUGAGUCCAAAGGAAACGCAAGGAACUUAUUUGACAUGAAGGGAGGCACUAAAAAAACCAGCUUCAACAUAAGUGGAUAUGGGAUGUAAUUAUACGUGUGUGUAUGUGUGUGUGUGCGCGCAAUAUCCAGAGAAAUUCCAGCUAUUACUGAUCAGGACUUCAGAACAAUCAAAGGAAAGAGAAAACAUGCAUCUCAGAUUUUACAGAAGGCUUGGCACAUCCUAGAAGGGGACAUUUGGGGAGUGCUAAAUCAGUACCAGCUGGAUGCAUUUAAAUAAAGCUACUAAAUCUAUA